UUAUUGGAGAGUUUGAUCCUGGCUCAGGAUGAACGCUGGCGGCGUGCCUAAUACAUGCAAGUCGAGCGAAUGGAUUGAGAGCUUGCUCUCAAGAAGUUAGCGGCGGACGGGUGAGUAACACGUGGGUAACCUGCCCAUAAGACUGGGAUAACUCCGGGAAACCGGGGCUAAUACCGGAUAACAUUUUGAACUGCAUAGUUCGAAAUUGAAAGGCGGCUUCGGCUGUCACUUAU
rnacentral:rRNA from 1 species